rnacentral:rRNA from 1 species
AACGAACGCUGGCGGCAUGCCUAACACAUGCAAGUCGAACGAAGUCUUCGGACCUAGUGGCGCACGGGUGCGUAACGCGUGGGAAUCUGCCCUUGGGUACGGAAUAACUCAGAGAAAUUUGUGCUAAUACCGUAUAAUGUCUUCGGACCAAAGAUUUAUCGCCCAAGGAUGAGCCCGCGUAAGAUUAGCUAGUUGGUGGGGUAAAAGCCUACCAAGGCGACGAUCUUUAGCUGGUCUGAGAGGAUGAUCAGCCACACUGGGACUGAGACACGGCCCAGACUCCUACGGGAGGCAGCAGUGGGGAAUAUUGGACAAUGGGCGAAAGCCUGAUCCAGCAAUGCCGCGUGAGUGAUGAAGGCCUUAGGGUUGUAAAGCUCUUUUACCAGGGAUGAUAAUGACAGUACCUGGAGAAUAAGCUCCGGCUAACUCCGUGCCAGCAGCCGCGGUAAAAC